rnacentral:rRNA from 1 species
AUUGAACGCUGGCGGCAGGCCUAACACAUGCAAGUCGAGCGAGCGGCGGACGGGUGAGUAAUGUCUGGGAAACUGCCUGAUGGAGGGGGAUAACUACUGGAAACGGUAGCUAAUACCGCAUACCAUCAGAUGUGCCCAGAUGGGAUUAGCUAGUCGGUGGGGUCAUGGCUCACCUAGGCGACGAUCCCUAGCUGGUCUGAGAGGAUGACCAGCCACAGGGGAACGGAGACACGGUCAAGACUCCGACGGGAGGCAGCAGUGGGGAAUAUUGCAAAAGGGGGGAAAGCCUGAUGAAGCCAUGCCGGGUGUGUGAAGAAGGCCUUCGGGUUGUAAAGCACUUUCAGCGGGGAGGCGUUACCCGCAGAAGAAGCACCGGCUAACUCCGUGCCAGCAGCCGCGGUAAUUC